CCUACGGGUGGCAGCAGUGAGGAAUAUUGCGCAAUGGACGCAAGUCUGAACCAGCCAUGCCGCGUGCAGGAUGACGGUUCUAUGAGUUUUAAACUGCGUUUGUACGAGGGUAAAUCCCGAUACGUGGAUAUGGUUGAAAGUAUCGUACCAAUAAGGAUCGGCUAACCCCGUGCCAGCAGCCGCGGUAAUACGGAGGAUCCGAGCGUUAUCCGGAUUUAUUGGGUUUAAAGGGUGCGUAGGCGGUUUGAUAAGUUAGAGGUGAAAUGUCGGGGCUCAACCCCGACACUGCCUCUAAUACUGUUGGACUAGAGAAUAGUUGCGGUAGGCGGAAUGUAUGGUGUAGCGGUGAAAUGCUUAGAGAUCAUACAGAACACCGAUUGCGAAGGCAGCUUACCAAACUAUAUCUGACGUUGAGGCACGAAAGCGUGGGUAGCAAACAGGAUUAGAUACCCCUGUAGUC
rnacentral:rRNA from 1 species